rnacentral:tRNA from 1 species
GAGGGUAUAACUCAGUGGUAGAGCGCAUGCUUAGCAUACACAAGGUCCUGGGUUCAGUCCCCAGUACCUCCA